GACGAACGCUGGCGGCGUGCUUAACACAUGCAAGUCGAACGGAAAGGCCCUGCUUGCCGGGUACUCGAGUGGCGAACGGGUGAGUAACACGUGGGUGAUCUGCCCUGCACUUCGGGAUAAGCUUGGGAAACUGGGUCUAAUACCGGAUAGGAACCAUCUUUAGUGUGGUGGUUGGAAAGUUUUUUCGGUGUAGGAUGAGCUCGCGGCCUAUCAGCUUGUUGGUGGGGCAAUGGCCUACCAAGGCGGCGACGGGUAGCCGGCCUGAGAGGGUGUACGGCCACAUUGGGACUGAGAUACGGCCCAGACUCCUACGGGAGGCAGCAGUGGGGAAUAUUGCACAAUGGGCGCAAGCCUGAUGCAGCGACGCCGCGUGGGGGAUGAAGGCCUUCGGGUUGUAAACUCCUUUCGCUAGGGACGAAGCUUUUUUGUGACGGUACCUAGAUAAGAAGCACCGGCUAACUACGUG
rnacentral:rRNA from 1 species